CAAUAGCGUAUAUUUAAGUUGCUGCAGUUAAAAAGCUCGUAGUUGGAUUUCGGGUGGGAAUGGCCGGUCCGCCGUUUCGGAGUGCACUUGCUACGCCCACCUUGCUGCCGGGGACGUGCUCUUGAGUUCACGCUCGGGACACGGAGUCGGCGAGGUUACUUUGAGUAAAUUAGAGUGUUCAAAGCAGGCCUACGCUCUGAAUACAUUAGCAUGGAAUAACACGAUAGGACUCUGGCCUAUCUUGUUGGUCUGUAGGACCGGAGUAAUGAUUAAGAGGGACAGUCGGGGGCAUUCGUAUUUCAUUGUCAGAGGUGAAAUUCUUGGAUUUAUGAAAGACGAACUACUGCGAAAGCAUUUGCCAAGGAUGUUUUCAUUGA
rnacentral:rRNA from 1 species